GCACCACAGCCAUGCUCUGUGUCACAUGAGGGAGAAGAAGAACCAUGAGGACAACAGCAGUUCCUUCCUUCAAAACCCCCACUUCCAGCAAUGGGACUGGUGGUACAAUGCCAGGCAGAGCUCUCCCCAGCCAGUCCCAAUGCACUGGUGACAAAGGGUUCCAGGCAUCCUCUCCCAGACUCAUCCAUGGGCAGAGGAAAGGCCCAGGUGCCUUAUCCUGAUAGUGGUGAUAAGGAGCUUCUGUUUCUCCAAAGGGGUCUGGGAAGCAUCCCCAGCUACUUGUUUGUCCCCAGCGUGUUGCUGUGCUGGAGGUAGUGGUCUGAAAGCAGGACUCUGGCUCCCCAUGGGCACCCCAGGGCAAAGUACAGGAAGUGCCCAUGCUUUUGUACAUGGCUCUGGGUGAUCAUCACACCAGGGCUGAGCUUUGAGCAUAAUGGGGAGUUCAUGCCCCAGCGUUAAGCUGCAGCUCGUGCGGGCUCCAGGAGGAAGACCGCACUGCAUCCCUCACAGCUCCGGCUUGUCACUCUAUUAAAUUUAUAUUUUAACAUGAGAAUAGUUGGUUUCAUGGUACCUGUAACUGUGUCAUUUACACAGUCAUGCACACAAUCCCUGCUGAAAACAUCAUUCCUCACUGCAGCAGCAGUUCACUGUCUUUGCAGGUACUGAGUGGGUGGUUGGGGAGGUAAUGCCAGCCCUGGGUCAGACCACCCUGGCAGCUUAUGGCAUGGAGUGCUCACGGUCCAGUGCAAGAGCAGGAUGAACCCAUCUCCAUCCUUAUGAACCCAGGCCUCCAUGCUGCCACUGAGCCCUGAGGAUGGGAUACUUGAUGCACAUCAAGGGACAGAGACAACAACUGUUGGCCAUGCUCAAUAGUGCUUUGUUCUUGGCCCCGGAAGCAGUGAAAAUCCUCCUGCUUUGAAGCCUGAGAAGGCCUUUUUAUUAUAUCCAGGGCCUCUGGAAAAAGAAACUGCAAGUGCUUUCCCACAGUGUGAUAAAAAGCAAUCUUGGCUGAGACCACAGCAACUUGUUACACGUGAGAACAGUGAAUCAGUGUGCAUGGGGCUGAGCUCAGUGCUUGUGCAGCCACUGGAAAUCUCUGGUUUUCAGGGUCUAUGUAACUGGGGUUUGGAAGAGGCUUGGUUUGAGUUUUGUUGACCUUGCACUCUCCCCAGACUUGACAGCUGUGGUGCCUGGUCCACACAGUGUCUGGUGCACAGUGGCCAUGGUGAGUAGCAAGAGGGGUGGAAGGAUAGUGGACACAUCCCUCCAUGUGUCCCUGCUAAGCAGAUAAGUGCCAGGCAGAGCUGAGGCAUGCACACACCCUGGCUUUGUGUUGUAACAGACUAUUGUCUAACAAUAAAAACGAUCAGCUAAUAUGAAAAGCACCCAGCAGAUGAGAGGUGUUUAGGUUGGGUAGAAAGCCAGGCUAUAAUUUAAAACAGCCAGUGUGGGUUGAGCAGAGGUCUGGUGCUGGCUGGAGAGCAUGGGGAGAGGCAGGUCACGCAGUGGGAGGGAGCCCAUGAACAUCCCAUGUUUGCAUCCAACAGUGGGCAGCUUUGGGUGAGUGCUGGGGUGCAUGGUGGGAUCCACCAUGCUCACACACAUGGCAGUGAUGUUGCUGGGUAGGAAAGCUGACAAGACACCCACAGCUGUGAGGGGGCCCUGGGGUUGCUCUCCAUCCCUUCCCAUGAGCCUAGGGCACAGCAGGUCCUCCCUAGCACAGCCCCCAGCCCGGCUGGAAAACUCCUAAGUGGUGAGGCUGGCCUAAUUAGUCUGCUUAAUCUUCCCCCAUAAAUCACCUGUCCCAGUCCCCUGCAGACUAUCGGCAGCAUCUGAAGUCAUUAGCUAAUUUAAAUCUGGGAGUUCACACGCUGGCUUAUCAGGAGCUAUCUCUGUUCCCGCUAAGCGCUUGCCCAGUGCCUGCUCUGCCUCCUAGAUCCUAUCUGUGCCUGCUUUGAAGCGAUGAUGGGUUGCCGAGCAGGCGAGGCACGCUGCCUGCUUCCCUGCCUGCUGGCAGGUGGGAGGGGAGAUGGAUCCUGCUUCACUCCCUCCCUGUGCUCCCCUUUUUGAACUUCUCCUCUGACUCAUCCAUUUCAUUUAUGUUUCCACCUUCUUUUCACAAAUACCAAUUUGCCGGAGCGCUGGAAGGAGAAGGUGACUCCAGUGAUGCUGCUGCAGCUUCCCCAGCUGCAAGGGGAGAUGACCGGGUCCCAUGGGUGGGCUGGCAGCCAGCGCGCCGAUGACUGCCUGAGAGGGUGCGGGCAGGAUGACCCACAGGCGAGGCAGCUGCACCGGGCCGAGGGGACCAUCGCUGCCGCCGGCCCCGGCUCUCGCUUUGCACCGGGCUGUGCAACCAAACCCAGCGUGGAGAAACCGAAACCAGCUCAGCUGCCAGAUCCAUUAGGGAAGGAACCAGCCGUGCCUGGUGGAUGGCUUUCACGGGAGAGGUGGAGGGGCUGCCGUUGUGGUAGGGGCACACAGCGGGGGAUUAAAUGGGAUGGUUAGGUGGAAAAAGUGUCCAGAGGAGCCAGGAGCCUACCUCCCCCACCGGCCGGGCUGGAUGUGUCCCCAGGGAUGCUUUCUGCUGGCUUUAAGCUGCAAGAAGCAGAGCUUUUCCCUAGCAGCCAUACCCAGGGUUUGCAGUGGGUCACUGCAGGUGUGGAAGAGCAGCUUGGCAGCCCUGGGACAAGGGUUUUCCAUACCCCCUAAGGCAGGGGGGUCUGCCCAUCUCCUACCUGCCACGGCAGCUGAGGUUCACCCUGCUUGCUCUGCUUUACUCACAUUUUAUUUCUUUGUACUCAGUUAGUGCUUUUGUAUUUGCUCACCUGAGCACCACAGGCACCACAGCAUCCCAUCACCCAGGCAGGGAAGGGGCUGGGAUGUGCCAUGCCAUGCCAGGCUGGCUGAGCUGCGCUGGAGUGCCAGCAGGAGAGAACUAGGAGCAGCACCAGGCUCUUCCAGGUACUAAUGCCACAAAGGUGUCCUCUCUGAAAUACCACUGCAGCUCACGUCUGCUGCCACAUCCCUCUGCUAGUAAACCUCCUGUUGCAGCUCCCUGCCCCCCCUGAAGCCAUGGUGCCCGGCAGUCUUCUUGCCGAGUGGAUACCUAUGUUUGAUGAUUUUGCUCCAGGCAUACGAGCUGCACAUAUCAAAGCUGAGUCACAUCUUAUCUCCUGGCUGUGUUCCUGCCUGUUCCCAGCCCAGGAUUCCUGGCUGCAGAGCAUUCACAGCAGUUUCCUGACACCAUGUGUCAUGGUGGAUUUGAGGUGCCAGGCUUUAUUUUGGGGGAAGCCCUGGGGCAGGUAGCUGCGGUGCAGGUCAGAGGGACAUCAAAUUUAGGUUGAAGAAUGUGGAUCACAGCAGCCAGGGCACAUCCCAUGAGGUCACAGGGGGGCUGUGCCCCAUGUCCCCACUGAGGUCCCAUGAGCUGCUCCUGCCCCACUGCACUGGGGAAGGUCCAGGACAAGCUCUGUCCUGCAGAGUGAGUGGUGAACAGGCCCAAAGAACAGAGGGAGAACGUGCUCAGUGCAGUAUGGGCACUGGCAUCUUGUUACCAGCUUUACUGCAACUGGUGUGAAGGAGCAGGGCAUUGCUUUUAGGGAUGGCCAAACUUACUAAGAGUUGUGGUGGUGAACACUGAAAGAGGAAGUUUUAGAAGGGAAAUAAAACGCUAAUGCCUCAGGGCUUAAGAUGGUCCUCGGUGCAAAAGCAGGAAAGUAAUUAGCACUGUAGGUGGGGAAAUAACCAGCGUCAAAUGGAAGCAGGGCAAGGGCAGGUUGAAGGGGCCACAAAGAGGAUGACGGGCUGAAGCUCUUCAGGAUGUGACAGAGACCAAGCCUGGAGCCUCCCAGGACCUCUCCAGAACAUCGUCUUGCUGGGGGGCUGUACCUGCAAUGCCCCUGAUCCCACUGGCCACAGGCCAGGCAAAAGGCUCCUCUGAGCUCAGCGGAGACCAGUCCAACCCCGUGCAGCUCCAAUUAUCCCUGGCUGGAGGCCUUCCAGGAAUCCCAUCCCCAAGCUCUCCCCCAGCCCUGCCUCCCCCACUCUCCCCCCUCAAAGCAAUUUGACUUUUAUAGUAAUAACUCCUGAACCCUGAACUGGGGCCGUGCCAAGGAAAGCCGCAGAAAACAAUGUGAUGGGCCUCGGCAGGCGCGGAAACUCCAGCGACUGAGAGCAGCCCUAAAAUAACUUUUGAGCGAUUGUUAUUUAUUCUGGGAGAAAGUUGGUUCAUUCACAACUCGGAGGGGAGAUAAAUGAGGGCAGGCUCGGGCUGGCCUCCCCGUGCAGUGGCAGCCAGCUGCAACAGCCAGUGCUGCAGCACAGAGUGCAGCCCUAUCACUGCUGUCCUGGUGCACGUGCCCAUCCUUGUGCCCUGCUGAAAGAUCACACUUUUUUAUUUAAUUGCUUAAGAGCAUUUGGGUUCAGCUGAAAGCCUUGGGCUCCGGUGGAGGAGCUUGGCUUCAGGCUGGGUUCUGCAUGUGCUGCCAGGCUCAGGGGGCUGUCCACCUCAUGUCUGUGCCUGCGUGUGUUUUGGCUUCCCAUGGCACACUGCUUGGUGUGAGUGCUGUGCUGCAGGCCGCUGGCUUGCACUCCUGCCCUGGAGUUAGCACACAUGAGCCAUUGGUGUCUGAUGGGCAGCAGGUGGUACAGGCAAGUGUUCCCCAGGCAGGGAACACAGACAGCAUCCCACUGUGGGUCCUAGUGAGCAUCAGUGUAUGCACAGUAGCUGCCAGCCCACAUCAGCCAGGCAAGUGGUGCCAUCUCAGUAACAUGGUGCUGUUUCCACAGCUCUGAGCUGCUGCAGCUUCCCUGCAAUUCACCAGGGCUGUGCCAGAGCUCUGGCAGUGCCAGAGGAGCCUUGGGCAGGCAAGGCAACCGUGGCUGCUCUCUGCCUGCCCUCUGAAUCAGGGAAAGUGCUCUCCAGAGGAGGCAGGCAGCCAGCAAGGCAGUCAUUGGCACUGCCAUGCAUCUGCUUGUGCAGAUGUGUUUUAUGGCACCCAUCACUAUAGCCUGGGCACUGGUCAGUAUUUUAAAUGCAGGGAUGGCUCUGCCAGACAGGGUGACAGGGGUGACAGAGACUUCACAGGGCAGCUCUGCAGGCAGGUGGGACAGGGAUGGACAGUGACCUGACUGGAGCCAAUAGGCAUUGCCAACUCUGUGUGCAGAUCAUCUCCAGGAAGGAUGCACAGCCAAGAGCACCUGCUCACAAGCAUCUCCAGGGUCAGGCUCGUUCCUGCUCCACCAUGGCACCAGCUGGCUCAGCCAUGAUGUCACAGUGGCACAGAACAGCAUCUGCCCUGCAUACCAGCUGGUGGAGGUUGCACUGAAAAACCCUGCCACAUCUGUUUGCUUGCCUGGGCCAUCCCUCUUCUGUUGCUGCCCGUAGUCCAGGAGACCUUACUGAGGAUCACCUAACAUUUCUGCUUUGGAUUUGGCUCUGAUGUGUGGACACAGCGGAACUGGGGCCCUGGAGCUGCAAAAGAGACCCAGUCUGGUGCUACCAGGAAGGUGAUUAGGUCCUGUCUCUUAACUGAGAGAGGAGAGAGCGAGUUUAUGUGUAGCAAAACAGCCUGGUCCUGGAUAAACCAUCACUCAGCCGCCCUUGUGGCACAGACCACGGGGAGAGCAGGGUCAAAGCCAGGUCACACAUGGUGCAGAAGCAGUGCAGUCGGCACACACAGCUUCCUUCAUGGCACGGUGCCCGUGCUGGUGGGACUGGCCCUGCUGGCCAACAUCCGUAAUCCUGCCAGGCAGGAAAGCCUGCGGCCUGGUGCUUCUCCUCACCUCUCUGUAUCCCCUGCCCUCUGCCCCACCACCGCCAUGGGCAGCGUGUGCUUGCCAGCUGCCUCUCAGCCUCAACACUGAGCAGCUCGUGCUCUUGGCAGGUAGCGCAGGUCUUACUGGCCGUUAUUACAAUUAUUGUUUUCGUUUUUCCAGCUCAAAGGGGCUCUGCUCUCGCAUCACUCCUGCCUGGCCCGAAGCCAGGUGGAACUCGGGGCAGGGUGAGAGGAGCAGGGAACAUCCUGCGCUGUCAGGGCAGGGGACCACGGUGGGAUGCACGAGAUGGGGCGGAGGAGAGAGGAGAUCCUGCCCCUCCCCUUAAAGGUUCAGACUGGAAAUCAACACCCGCUUGGUUAAUUCAUUAGCUUCAAUUAGCAACUCUGAAGCUUAGAUCAGUUAAUGGGCUCCCUCCUGCUGGUAAAUCUCCAAGAGGAGCUCAGCAAGGUUAUCUGCACCAGCAGUCGUGAGGAGAGGAUGGGGAUGACAGCAAUUGAAUUAGGAAGCUGUUAAAGGAAGAAGCCAAACAGAGCUAGAGCAGGGACGAUGCAGGAUGGCCACACCACUAAAACCCAGGGCAGAGCAAUACAAUAUGGCUGUACUGGCUGGGUGAGAGCUGGGGAAUGAAGCAGCAGCUCCCCAUGGACACAGGUUAGGCUGGUGUUUGAUACUGUGUUUCCAGCUCUGUCCUUUGUAGAUUCCUUCACCAGCACCACCUUCUCCUUAUGUGGGCUGUAUCUUCCGCCAAGCGGGGGUUGCUCCACAGCCUGGGUUUGGUUGUUGAUUAAAUUAGCUCAGAAGUAACUUAUUUGUGAUGAUGAUGUGAUGUAGCGACCUUCAGUGUUUCCAUUAAAAUAUACAUGUGUAUAUUUGUUUUCUGUGGUUACGAAUGUAAUUCCACAAUCCACUUAGGAGCUGGUAAUUUUCUGGCUGAGGUGGGAAGUUGCUGACAUCUUGUGAUACAUGACAAGAUUGAUUGUGUUUGCUUACCCUUUAACCUAAUAAAGAAAAAUAACGUUCUGUAGUCUGGA